AUGAACGCUGGCGGCGCGCCUAACACAUGCAAGUCGAACGGCACCUGCCUUCGGGCAGAAGCGAGUGGCGAACGGCUGAGUAACACGUGGAGAACCUGCCCCCUCCCCCGGGAUAGCCGCCCGAAAGGACGGGUAAUACCGGAUACCCCCGGGCGCCGCAUGGCGCCCGGGCUAAAGCCCCGACGGGAGGGGAUGGCUCCGCGGCCCAUCAGGUAGACGGCGGGGUGACGGCCCACCGUGCCGACAACGGGUAGCCGGGUUGAGAGACCGACCGGCCAGAUUGGGACUGAGACACGGCCCAGACUCCUACGGGAGGCAGCAGUGGGGAAUCUUGCGCAAUGGGGGGAACCCUGACGCAGCGACGCCGCGUGCGGGACGGAGGCCUUCGGGUCGUAAACCGCUUUCAGCAGGGAAGAGUCAAGACUGUACCUGCAGAAGAAGCCCCGGCUAACUACGUGCCAGCAGCCGCGGUAAUACGUAGGGGGCGAGCGUUAUCCGGAUUCAUUGGGCGUAAAGCGCGCGUAGGCGGCCCGGCAGGCCGGGGGUCGAAGCGGGGGGCUCAACCCCCCGAAGCCCCCGGAACCUCCGCGGCUUGGGUCCGGUAGGGGAGGGUGGAACACCCGGUGUAGCGGUGGAAUGCGCAGAUAUCGGGUGGAACACCGGUGGCGAAGGCGGCCCUCUGGGCCGAGACCGACGCUGAGGCGCGAAAGCUGGGGGAGCGAACAGGAUUAGAUACCCUGGUAGUCCCAGCCGUAAACGAUGGACGCUAGGUGUGGGGGGACGAGUCCCCCCGUGCCGCAGCCAACGCAUUAAGCGUCCCGCCUGGGGAGUACGGCCGCAAGGCUAAAACUCAAAGGAAUUGACGGGGGCCCGCACAAGCAGCGGAGCAUGUGGCUUAAUUCGAAGCAACGCGAAGAACCUUACCAGGGCUUGACAUAUGGGUGAAGCGGGGGAGACCCCGUGGCCGAGAGGAGCCCAUACAGGUGGUGCAUGGCUGUCGUCAGCUCGUGUCGUGAGAUGUUGGGUUAAGUCCCGCAACGAGCGCAACCCCCGCCGCGUGUUGCCAUCGGGUGAUGCCGGGAACCCACGCGGGACCGCCGCCGUCAAGGCGGAGGAGGGCGGGGACGACGUCAAGUCAUCAUGCCCCUUAUGCCCUGGGCUGCACACGUGCUACAAUGGCCGGUACAGAGGGAUGCCACCCCGCGAGGGGGAGCGGAUCCCGGAAAGCCGGCCCCAGUUCGGAUUGGGGGCUGCAACCCGCCCCCAUGAAGUCGGAGUUGCUAGUAAUCGCGGAUCAGCAUGCCG
rnacentral:rRNA from 1 species